AUAUUAGAAAGAAGAAGAAAAAAA
rnacentral:sRNA from 1 species